rnacentral:rRNA from 1 species
AUUGAACGCUGGCGGCAGGCCUAACACAUGCAAGUCGAACGAGUGGCGGACGGGUGAGUAAUAUAUGGGAAAGUGCCCGAUGGCGGGGGAUAACUACUGGAAAGGGUAGCUAAUACCGCAUACUAUCGGAUCGGCCUAUAUGGGAUUAGCUAGUAGGUGGGGUAAAGGCUCACCUAGGCGACGAUCCCUAGCUGGUCUGAGAGGAAGACCAGCCACACUGGAACUGAGACACGGUCCAGACUCCUACGGGAGGCAGCAGUGGGGAAUAUUGCACAAUGGGGGAAAGCCUGAUGCAGCCAUGCCGCGUGUAUGAAGAAGGCCUUCGGGUUGUAAAGUACUUUCAGCGGGGAGGCGGUACCCGCAGAAGAAGCACCGGCUAACUCCGUGCCAGCAGCCGCGGUAAUAC